GACGAACGCUGGCGGCGUGCUUAAUACAUGCAAGUCGAGCGAAGAGACGAGGACCUUGCUGGUGGGAGGUGAUGGGUGGACGGCUGAGGAAUACCUCGAUAACCUACCUAUAAGACUGGGAGAACUUCGGGAAACCGGAGCUACUACCGGAUAAUAUAUUGAAUCGCAUGGUUCAAGAGUGAAAGACGGUUUUGCUGUCACUUAUAGAUGGGUCCGCGCCGGAUUAGCUAGUUGGUAGGGUAACGGCUUACCAAGGCGGCGAUGUGUAGCCGACCUGAGAGGAUGGUGGGCGGCCCUGAAAGUGAGGAGCGGCCGAGAAUACUCCGGGAGGCAGCAGCAGGGGGUCUUCCGGCAUGGGCGAAGGAAGGACGGAGCAGCGACGCGUGAGGGGUGAAGGUCGUCGGCUCGUAGAAAUCUGCUAUUGGGAGAGAACAAGUGUGUAAGUGACUGUGCACGUCUUGACGGUAGCUAGACAGGAAGCCCCGGCUAACUACGUG
rnacentral:rRNA from 1 species